GGAGAGAUGGCUCAGUGGUUAAGAGCACUGACUAUUCUUCCAGAGGUUCUGAGUUCAAUUCCCAGCCACUGCA
rnacentral:tRNA from 1 species